UACGUAGGGUGCGAGCGUUGUCCGGAAUUGCUGGGCGUAAAGAGCUCGUAGGUGGUUUGUCGCGUUGUCCGUGAAAACUCACAACUCAAUUGUGGGCGUGCGGGCGAUACGGGCAGACUGGAGUACUGCAGGGGAGACUGGAAUUCCUGGUGUAGCGGUGGAAUGCGCAGAUAUCAGGAAGAACACCCGUGGCGAAGGCGGGUUGCUGGGCCGACACUGACGCUGAUGCGCGAAAGCGUGGGGAGCAAACAGG
rnacentral:rRNA from 1 species